CAUUCUCCACUCAUAGUGGGUAGCAGCACCUAACCAACAUGGACUGAUCUUGAAAGAACAAAGCAAGGUUUGACUUGGUUAGAACUUGAAUGGAAGACCAGCAGGAGAUUCCAUGGAUGUAGUACAGAUUGAGAAAUCAAAAAGAAGGUGGUGAGAUUGCUCCCUAUAGAAUGGAUGAUUUCUGCCUAUUGCUGCUUUUUUCUUUGAACAUGCUGAUCUUGGAAAGCUGCUCCUUGUGUAUGGAUGUGUAUCAAGAAAGGGACUACAGGUUGUCCCCAGUUUAAGAAUGAGUUCCAUUCCGAAGGUUCUCUAAUCUCAAUUUCACCAUUGUCCAUGCUGACUGGUCAUGAUGGGAAUUAUAAUCCAACUUGUUUGAUGAGCACCAAAGGGAAAGACUGCUUAGAGGAUUGCAUUAGGAUGAUGGACAGUACAGCAGAAGAGGAAUGAUUGUUUCUAACUUCAGUUUUCAAAAGGAUAGGCUACGUAACAAUCACAUGGAACAGUAGGCAAGUCUAUUCUCUCAAAAUGUUUUGUUAACUUUUUCUUUAAGUUUAAAAGGUCACCAAGUGCCGUAGGCAUUGCAGAAAGAGAAGUAUGGAUUGUCAUGAACGGGCACUGUUCCAUGAUACUGGUGCAGAGUGAUCUCACGUAGCAUAUGCAAGAGGAAGAGAUAUAUGAACACACACAUGCACACACACCUCUGUGCCCCCCCCACACAAAGAGUUCUGCCAGUCAGAAAAUAAUGCAAUGUGAAUGCAAAGAGAAUUACAUAUAUACACGCACUGUUAAUUUUUGGACAUAUUUGGGCACAUCUGCUUGGAUUAUUCUGUGUUAAAAAUGAAUGAACAUUGUUUCAGAUUAGCUCUAGUGCCCCAUCUGCAGAUGAAUAGCAAUACUACUUACAAAUAUACUGAGGUUUUUUUUUUUUUUAAUAACAAGGCUUUGUGGGCUUUGGCCUGACUGUCCCCGCAGCCAGUCCCACCCAACAUUCACUAUUUGCUUAAGCAAGCCAUCCCUAGCCCAGGGCUCUUCAAAUGUGUAAUUUUGUCUUUUUUACCUUCUGCUGGCACUUCUACCUCCUAUUUCAUUUCUUAAUUUGAUUCAUUCACAUUUCUAAAAAUAUUAAUUAUGCUCAAUCAACUAACAAAGACAUUGUAGGGUAAAAGAGAGCAGCAAGUAAAAAUUCACGAAUAAGGGUUUUUUUUGCAAUGGAAAGCUCUAACAAAUUCCCCCUUUCCCCCGAUUUACACUGAAGGUUUGGGAUCAGUGCUUUUUUUUUUCAAGUUUUAUUUACAAAUUAUAAGGGAAAAAAAUGACAAAACACC